rnacentral:rRNA from 1 species
GACGUAGGGGGCCAGCGUUGUUCGGAAUUACUGGGUGUAAAGGGUGCGUAGGCGGUGGGGCAAGUGGGGGGUGAAAUCUCUGGGCUUAACCCAGAGGCUGCUUCCAAAACUGCUGUGCUUGAGUGUGGGAGAGGCGCGUGGAAUUGCAGGUGUAGCGGUGUAAUGCGUAGAUAUCUGCAGGAACACCCGUGGCGAAAGCGGCGCGCUGGACCACUACUGACGCUGAGGAACGAAAGCGUGGGGAGCGAACAGG